rfam:Ricinus communis cultivar Hale ctg_1100012350608, whole genome shotgun sequence.
GUAUCCAUGGUGUGGGCAUUACAUUAAAAAUGAUUUGGAGCGAUAUCAUGCUUUAUGAAAGGAUUCAAUAUCUUUUUGAUAAAAGUUGUAAAUUUCAGCCCUUAAUUC